rnacentral:rRNA from 1 species
UACGGGAAGGGCAAGCGUUAUCCGGCGUGACUGGGCGUAAAGAGUCCGUAGACGGUAAAGUAAGUUUAUUGUUAAAUUUUAAAACUUAAUUUUAAGAAAGCAAUAAAUACUGCUUUACUUUGAGGUUAAUAUAGAAAAGUGGAAUUUUAUAUGGUAGGGGUGAAAUCCGUAGAUAUAUAAAGGAAUGCCAACAGCGAAGGCAAACUUUUUGGUAUAACUGACGUGAGGGACGAAAGUGUGGGGAGCAAACAGG